UAUCCCUUUCUGCGUGUCUAGGUUAAUGUUGACAGCACGAUUGUUUUUUUUGUUUUUUUUUAAGUGGAUUAAAUUAUUGAUGGGGACAUUUCAAUGGUCGGAGGAUAUUGGUGGGGACACAUCCCCUCCGUCCACCCUAAAUCUACGCCCCUGUGAAGAUGGCUUCAGGAGAGACCACGAUCAGAACAACAAACAAAACCGCAAGUACCAAGUGCGACUCAUACUAACACUAUCAAGUCCCCACAGUCUACCUCUGCAGAAGGGGAGGACGCAGGAGAUAAGUAUUCAGCUCCAGAGCUGGAGCUGCUGUUACACACAGUCUUUGGGAUGACCCACCCCACGGAACGCUCAUCCUGAGGCCAGAACCAGUUUACUGGUAUUUGGUAUUCCUGGGUGGGCCUAUCUACUUACUGCACAGUAAUGUAUCAUUAGAUGAGGGCUGGGGACAUGCAGGAGACGCGUGGAGAUGGGCUCAUUCCCAGGGCUGUCUGCCGUUUCAGCAGCCUCAUAUCCCUCCUGUCAGGAGCUGCUACCACAGGACAUUUCUUCUGAGCUGAGCUCUCUGUGGCAAUAAAAGGGUCAUGGGGGUCCGGGGGCUAACCCAGAACCUCCAGGUGCGAGGCCAGGAAUGACCCAAGAUGGGCAGCCUUCCCAUCCCAUUGCAGAUGUUCUAACCAUUUAUUAAAAUACAGAUUCAUGUUCUUGAAAAAGAAUUACAAGCUAUUAGACAGAAUGUAAAACUAUAAUUAAUAUUAAGUGUUUGAUUUAUAAUGAAUGCUAGAACAUACUAGCAUAUUCAGCUAGUUUCACUCAUAAAUGAGCUUCAAUGUGUUCUAUUUAAUGAUUAUAACAAAUCAUGACAAAAAUGUAUAACAAAAAUGUAUGCUUGUUCUGAAUUGGCUAAUUUAUAAAUGA